rnacentral:lncRNA from 10 species
AAGCAUUUAUCUGGGGAUGGGAGGGUGUGUUGACUAUACACUUAUUCCACGUGCUGUCACUACUUAAAGAGUAUUUCCAGAACAGCUGCCUCUUUGGGACAUGCCUUCAGUUGUCCGUAAUUUGUCCAUUCCUUCCUUCCUUAUUCACUCAUUAAUGCAGGAAUGAAUCAAUAUUGACUGAAUAUCCAACUUCCAGAACUCACUAGUCUGUUGAAGGUAGUACAUCAAUGGUAGCUAAUAAUUUUUAUUUGGGGGUGGGUUCCAUUUGGGUAAAUAGUCAAAUGGCAUUCACAGCCAAGUCUGAUGCUGUCACUUUGGGCUGGGCUUCCUAAGCUCACUGCCAUAUGUCCCUUAUCCACUUUACCAAGUGGGCAAGCAAGGUGGGGAAUGUUUAUCUGUGUUUUAUCCACUGUAAUUCAAACACUAGCCCUGCAGACCCUGUGCUAUGGGGAUCUGCAGCUUUGCCCAGAUGACUAGCAGCAGUCCUGGAGGAUGGAGGCCUUGGCAGUGCUUGCAUGAGUGGGGAAGCUCUAGUAUGUCUUGUGUUUCUCUCUACCAGUGCUUAGCAUGAGGGACGGAGGUGUAAUCCUGCUCAGAACAGGAAAAAGGUCAGAUCUUUAGAAAAACACAGAGGGAGAUGGGAGCAUUAAAUGAAAAGUCUCAUAUAAACAUAACUUUUUCAUACUAGCAUCACAGAGAUAGGAGGAUAAAAGGAGAAGAAAGAGAAAAGAGAAGCUGUGACUACAAAGCUUUGGAGGAAGAGCUGGAAGGACUUUGAAAGUGCUGCUGGGAACAGGUGCAGUUGCCCUGGGGAGGUGCUGGAGAGAAGCCUGGGGCUCCCACCAGGAGCCAGUUCCACCCCAGGAUAAGGCUGUGGUGAGGCUAUGAAGGCCAAGUUCCCCAGCGGCUGCCACAGCAAGGUUACAGAUGCCCAACAGGCCAGAGCCAGCUGGCAGACAUCAAUGCAGCAUGGAAAACAUUAAGGGGAAGUGGAGGCAUUUAGCAAUGAAAUGACUUGAUACCUGGGAUUUUUGUCAAACUACUGUUGGAGUUGAGGUAUGCUGAAGCUAGGUAGUGAGUACUUGCCUAAGGGAUUCCUUAGGCAAGUGUCUCUACUCUUGUUUCUUGUGCUUGAAAUAAAAAGUUUCUAAUAAUAAGCAAAAGGUCUUUUACAAAUAGGGGUGCUAUGAAGAAGCCACACACUGCAUAUAGGAUAAUAGCAAAGGAAUAAAAGCCAUAGAAUAGAAGCAGAAAUCAACAAGAAUUUUGUCUUGGGUUCUCUUAACUAACAUUGCAAAUCAGGAGUUCUUAACCAGGGAG